rnacentral:rRNA from 1 species
GACGAACGCGGCGGCGUGCUUAACACAUGCAAGUCGAACGGACGACGAGGGAGCUUGCUCUCUUGAAGUUAGUGGCGAACGGGUGAGUAACGCGUAAUCAACCUGCCCUUCAGAGGGGGAUAACAACGGGAAACCGUUGCUAAUACCGCGUACGAUUCAUAGACGGCAUCGUUUGUGAAUGAAAGGUGGCCUCUAUUUAUAAGCUAUCGCUGAAGGAGGGGAUUGCGUCUGAUUAGCUAGUUGGAGGGGUAACGGCCCACCAAGGCAAUGAUCAGUAGCCGGUCUGAGAGGAUGAACGGCCACAUUGGGACUGAGACACGGCCCAAACUCCUACGGGAGGCAGCAGUGGGGAAUCUUCCGCAAUGGACGAAAGUCUGACGGAGCAACGCCGCGUGAGUGAUGAAGGUCUUCGGAUUGUAAAGCUCUGUUAAUCGGGACGAAAGAGUUCUGUGUGAAUAAUGCAGAAAAGUGACG